rnacentral:lncRNA from 1 species
CCGCCCCUGGCUCGUGACUGGGGGCGCUCACGCGGCCCUCACGCGGCCCUCACGUGGCCCUCACGUGGCCGCGCGCGCCCCCUUAGAACCGAGGCGCGUGCGGCGCUCUCAGGUGCGCGGCGGGAAAGUCUGGUCCCUCAGGCGCGCGCGGCUGCCCUCAGGGCGCGGCGGGAAAGUCUGGUCCCUCACAUCCCGUGAUCCCUGGGGCUCCGGCUGGUUCUUGUCGCUGCAACUGUUAGUUGGCUCUUGGUGUAAUUGAUGGACACUGCCAGUUGCUUAGACAGAUGGGAAUUAACACUGGUGUUCCCAUUAGAACUUGCCAUCACAGUCACGUUGGCUUUGGUCUCCUGCACUGGGUUGAUGUGUGCAAGAGAGUGCAUGUGGAAGGAGCAAGCGUAACUCCUGCCUGCAGUACUCGCCUUCCAGGGUAUUGGAGCCAUCCAUCCAACACAGAGCAGACGAGCUGCUUGCCAGUUUGCAGAACACAUGGCUUUGAGAUGGUGAGGAAAAUGCUUCUUUGCUGGAUGCUGAGAGAUUGCAGUGAGCGGGACUCUCAUCCCUGGAGGCAUCUGUAAGCUGUACUUACAGGUAGGCUGACAGAAGACACAGCAGCUCAGCUGGUGGGGCCACUGUCCCUAUGCGCUGGUUUGUUGGCUCCAUGCAGGGCAGGUCAUGCGCACACACAGUGCCCUCUCCUCCUCCCAAGUCUCCUGCCAUCAAAUCCAUGCCUGAUGCUCAGACCCAGCAGGU